rnacentral:misc_RNA from 1 species
GAUGAAGAACGUAGCGAAAUGCGAUACGUAAUGUGAAUUGCAAAUUCAGUGAAUCAUCGAGUCUUUGAACGCACAUUGCGCCCCCUGGUAUUCCGGGGGGCAUGCCUGUCCGAGCGUCAUUGCUGCCCUCAAGCACGGCUUGUGUGUUGGGCCCCGUCCUCCGAUCCCGGGGGACGGGCCCGAAAGGCAGCGGCGGCACCGCGUCCGGUCCUCGAGCGUAUGGGGCUUUGUCACCCGCUCUGUAGGCCCGGCCGGCGCCUGCCGAUCAACCCAAAUUUUUUAUCCAGGUUGACCUCGGAUCAGGUAGGGAUACCCGCUGAACUUAAGCAUAUAAUAAGCGGAGGA